ncrna:unclassified sequences RAGATH-36 RNA
UGGCACGGUACGAUUCCGUGGGGCGGGCUUCCCGCCUAACGCUUAGUCCCCAUAAUGGCGAAGGUAAGUGAGGAGGCGUCCAAAAUCUGAAAGCUGUUAUGGGGCGUGGCCGACUACGAGAGUGCCGGGG